rnacentral:misc_RNA from 1 species
AAGUGCCUUAUCAUUCAUCAUCUUCUUCAUGGCAAAAGCAAGACUUAAUGUGACAGCCAAAGGAAGGCCCUCAGGAACUGCAACAACAACAAUUGUAACAGCAACAGCAAAAAAUUCCAACAUUUCCAUGGCAUCAUCACCAGACCAGUUCCAGUGACUUCCUUCAACAAGCUUACGCCUAAAUAAUCCUUCCACCAGGACAGCAAAUGUCACAAUGGCAAAAAAUAGGCCUAUUUUCCCAAUUAUGGUUGCUACUCCAUUCAGUUUGACCUGCAAUGGGGUCUCAUCGUCUCCUCCUUCACUUAGUGUAGCCAUUAGUUUACCCCACUGUGUUCUCAUUCCAACAGUAGUCACAAGCAUUUUGCAUGAUCCAUCUUGAACUUUGGUUCCUGAAAGAAGAAAGGGAUUUGUAGCAUCCACAUGAACUGGCUCACUCUCUCCUGUUAAACUAGAUUCAUUAAUUAACAAAGAAAACCCGGAGAUAAAAAGUCCAUCAGCUGGGACCUGGUCUCCAAUGGAAAGAUGAACGAUGUCACCAGGAAGUAAAUCAUAUAUGGAGAUCUUCUGCCUCAAGCCAUUUCUAGUAACCUGAAUUGAUAUCUUUUUCUUCUCCUUGUCUAAAUCUUUAAACUGCAGAGAUUGCUUAUAAUCACUAGUGGCGGUGACAAAUACAACAAGCAAAAUACUUGCAACAAUUCCAAGACCAUCAUGAGCACCCUUUGGCCAUCCUUCCAUUAUUAUGCCAACACUGAGAGACACAAGGGCACAAACACCAAGUAUCAUAAGAGUCAUAUCUUGAAGGGCUUCCCAAACAAAAACCCAGAAACCCCUUGGUGGGCUCUCAGUGAAUUUAUUUAUCCCAUAAAUUUCUUUCCUUCUAUUAAGUAAAUCGUCACAAGUAGAAAUACCAUCAGCAAUUGAUGUGGAGAGCUUGCCAGAGAUACCCUCCACCCAUCCAUGAAUUGCCAGUUUCUUCAAGUCAUGGUCUUCAACAAUUGAUGCCAACUCUUCAGCACAAAUUUGAAAACCAGCAGACUCAACCUCCUCAGGUACGGUGUAGUCAUUGGACAAAUUUAGACAAUGAAUAAAUUGAAGAGCAGCCUUUGAGACCAAAACUGCAACACGAAGCUUCUCCUGAAAUGUAGAGAUGAAAAACAAGGAAAUAAAAUAAGGGGUACACGAAAAUGUAAUUUUUUACCUAAGAUUUGUAUCAAAGGGAGAAUAUUUUUCAAGACCAUUCAUUACUGAAGCCAUUAAUAGGCUACGAAGAUUCAUUCAUGAACCAAAGUUUUUACCGGAGAUAGCAAGUUUAGAGAACAAACAUCUCACUAAAGCUAUAUUCCUGAGAGAACAACCAGUCCAAGUAUUAUUGCAGAGCGUUCCACGGUGUAAACAAUUUCCAAUGACGAACUAAUGCACGUCAUUAGAAACCUGUUCUUUCUUUCUUCUAAAAACAAUUACCAUAUGCAUAUAACACAAGAUUUCUCCACCAAUUCUUCUGCUCAACCCUCUUGAUACAAUUACAGAACAAAAAUUACUUUCAUACACCGCAUGGCCAAUUAUGUUGCGGUAUCUCCUAAAGCAUCACGAAUCUUACUACAUCCUGACAGAAUCCAUAUUUACAGGUUCGAUAUCUAUAUAUAUGCUUUUGUGUUGCCAACAUUAUGCCUCUAAAGGUCAUAAGAACUGGCAAUUAGGCAAAGCAGG